UCCGCCCGCUGGCGGCGUGCUUAACACAUGCAAGUCGAACGGAAAGGCCCUGCUUUUGUGGGGUGCUCGAGUGGCGAACGGGUGAGUAACACGUGAGUAACCUGCCCUUGACUUUGGGAUAACGUCAGGAAACUGGGGCUAAUACCGGAUAGGAGCUCCUGCUGCAUGGUGGGGGUUGGAAAGUUUCGGCGGUUGGGGAUGGACUCGCGGCUUAUCAGCUUGUUGGUGGGGUAGUGGCUUACCAAAGCUUUGACGGGUAGCCGGCCUGAGAGGGUGACCGGCCACAUUGGGACUGAGAUACGGCCAAGACUCAUACGGGAGGCAGCAGUGGGGAAUAUUGCACAAUGGGCGGAAGCCUGAUGCAGCAACGCCGCGUGCGAGAUGACGGCCUUCGGGUUGUAAACCGCUUUCGCCUGUGACGAAGCGUGAGUGACGGUAAUGGGUAAAGAAGCACCGGCUAACUACGUG
rnacentral:rRNA from 1 species